GAUGAACGCUGGCGGCGUGCCUAAUACAUGCAAGUCGAGCGGUAAGGUUCUGCACUUAGUAUUUAACCAGAGUAAGUCCACAGCAAUGUGGAAACUACCUGAAGCAGGGAACUCCAAGGCUGGAGAACCCGAGUUGAAUCCUGAGUGUAGAAUACACGAGCGGCGGACGGCUGAGCAACACGUAGGAACGUACCCCAAACUGAGGGAUAAGCACCAGAAAUGGUGUCUAAUACCGCAUGUGGCCUUCGGGCUAAAGCUCCGGCGGUUUGGGAACGGCCUGCGUAAGAUUAGCUUGUUGGUGAGGUAAUAGCUCACCAAGGCGACGAUCUUUAGCUGGUCUGAGAGGAUGAUCAGCCAGACUGGGACUGAGAACGGCCCAGACUCCUACGGGAGGCAGCAGUAGGGAAUUUUCCACAAUGGGCGAAAGCCUGAUGGAGCAACGCCGCGUGCAGGAUGAAUGUCUUCGGAUUGUAAACUGCUUUUCUCUGUGACGAAUAUGACGGUAGCAGAGGAAUAAGGACCUGCUAACUACGUGCCAGCAGCCGCGGUCAUACGUAGGGUCCAAGCGUUAUCCGGAAUUACUGGGCGUAAAGAGUUGCGUAGGUGGCAAGUUAAGCGAAUAGUGAAAUGACGGGGCUCAACCCCGUGCCCAUUAUUUGAACUGGCUAGCUAGAGAAUGAGAGAGGUCACUGGAAUUCCCUGUGUAGGAGUGAAAUCCGUAGAUAUAGGGAGGAACACCGAUGGCGUAGGCAGGUGACUGGCUCAUUUCUGACACUAAGGCACGAAAGCGUGGGGAGCAAACGGGAUUAGAUACCCCGGUAGUCCACGCCGUAAACUAUGGAUGCUAGCUGUUAUAGGUAUCGACCCCUGUAGUAGCGAAGCUAACGCGUUAAGCAUCCCGCCUGUGGAGUACGGUCGCAAGACUAAAACAUAAAGGAAUUGACGGGGACCCGCACAAGCGGUGGAGCGUGUUGGUUAAUUCGAUGGUAAGCGAAGAACCUUACCCAGGUUUGACAUCCUCGGAAUUUCUUCGAAAGAAGAAAGUGCCUUUGGAACCGAGUGACAGGUGCUGCAUGGCCGUCGUCAGCUCGUGUCGUGAGAUGUUUGGUUAAGUCCAUCAACGAGCGCAACCCUUAUAGUCUGUUGUAUUUCUCAGGCUAGACUGCCCUGGCAACAGGGAGGAAGGGGGGGAUGAUGUCAGGUCAGUACUGCCCUUACACCUGGGGCUACAAACACGCUACAAUGGCCGGUACAAAGGGCUGCCAAAGCGCAAGCUGGAGCAAAUCCCAUCAAAGCCGGUCUCAGUUCGGAUUGCAGGCUGAAACUCGCCUGCAUGAAGCUGGAAUCGCUAGCAACGGUAGGUCAGCACACUACCGUGAAUACGUUCCCGGGUCU
rnacentral:rRNA from 1 species